rnacentral:rRNA from 1 species
AUGGCGUCCGUCUACACCGCGCCCCGCGCGCCGCUGGCCGCUACGGCCGCCUCCUUCCCCUCCUCGUACUCGUCCUCGCGGCAGCUGGACCCCAACCCUAGCCGAUUCCUCGCUGCGCACCGCGGCCAGCGGCUCCUCCGCGUCCGCCGCCUGGCGGGCGCCGCGCCAACUCGCCGCGCCUCCGACGCCGCCUCGGUGUUCCGGUGCAGCGCGCGCAGCCCCGGCGCGGACCCCGGCGGCGACCGACGCCGAGGCUGGGAUGCUCUCUUCCACGACGCCUUCCAGGGCGCCGUGCGGCGGUGGAGCGAGUACGUCGGGAAUUACUGGCCCUCGGCACACCCCUCGAAGGAGGCGGGUCUCGCGACGGGAGCGGAGAGUUCUCACGAACUGGAGGAGCGAGGGCAAGGAGUGGAGGAAGACGGUGAGGAGGUGGACGUGGUGCAGGAAGAAGGGAAGUGGAGCUGGGAGAGGUGGAAGCAGCACUUCGCCCUCAUCCAGGAGAGCGAGCGCCUUGUUGAUGAACUGCAGCUACAACUCCGCACUGCUGUGUGUAGAGAAGACUAUAGGAGUGCCCACAAACUGAAGUUAGCUAUUGCUGCUACAUCAAGAAAUGAUACUGUCGGCAGAGCAAUAUCUGAGUUACAUAGGGCCAUAGAAGAGGAGCGCUAUGUGGAUGCAGCUUAUAUUAGAGACCACGCUGGUGCAGGACUGUUGGGAUGGUGGUCUGGGAUUUCUGGAAGUUUGUCUGAUCCAUAUGGUCUUAUAAUCCGUAUAAGCGCUGAACAUGGUCGAUACGUGGCAAAAAGUUAUGAUAUCAGGCAGCUGGCUUCAGAUGGCCAUGGUUACCCUAUAUUCGAAAUUUAUUUUGCAGAGGCAAAUGGAGGAUACAACCUGCAGGCAGUGCAUCUGAAACCAGAUGUCAGUGAUUCAGACCAGUUGCGAAAUAUGUUGAGUGGAAAACUAGAUUUUAACAAUAUAAACAUAUCUAGCAGUUCCUUAGGCGCUAAACACGAGGAACACGAUGAAGGCAUAAACAUGGACGAUCAAAAUAGCGAUGAUAGUGAUGUUGCUGCUGGUCCAGCUGGUUUGAAAAACUUGUCAAAUGAUUCAACUCCAAUUCCCAGGAUCAAAAUUUUGAAGGUAGCGCCUAUGGAAAACAUCAACCAGGACUAUAUAAUUAAAAUAUUUGACCAGAUUUCAGAGGAAGAUGAUGACAAUGAUGAAGCUGAUAUCGGAAAUGAAUCUUCACAAGAUAUUGGUGAUGAAGAUAACAAUGAAGAAGCAGGAACAAUUUCUGCAGAAGAGAAUAAUGACGAGUCUGGUGAGGAAAGUGAUAUUGAAGCAUUGUUAUCGAUUGGAAUUGAAGUUGACAAUGAUAAGGAUUUUGCUUCGCAGUCCUCACCUAAAACUUUUGAACGCAUGCCAGCUAAAUUAGACAAGAGAGACCGCUUUUCAUUUACCUUCUAUACUGAACAAUCCAGUAACAAGCCAGCUGCAGAAAAGGCUCAACACAUUCCAAGGAAACGAGUUGGCUUCCGUACCACUGAGCAGGAUGGUGAUCUCAAGUUUGAUCGUGUAAAGUUGUCUGGGGGCAAUAGGAAACUACCGAUACUACAACUUGGUAUUAAGCAACUUAAUAAUAAGGUUCAACCAAAACUAUAUGGAGUUACCCACUUCAGCCGUAUUCAGAUGCCCAUCUCUUCAGAUCCUCUUAGUGGUCUAUAUGAGACUGCAUCUGGGUUUGACUCAGAAGUUCUUAGUUUACAACGGAAAUUCGGUCAAUGGCAGGAGGAUGAUUCAUCUGAGGAGCACUCGGAUCUUAAGUUUUAUGAGUAUGUCGAAGCUGCAAAAUUGACUGGGGACAAUCUUGUGCCAGCGGGUCAGGUUGUCUUCCGUGCGAAAGUUGGCAAACACUAUCAGCUUCCUCAUAAGGGGGUCAUCCCUAGAGAACUUGGAGUGGUUGCUAGGUAUAAGGGGCAAAGGAGAAUUGCAGAUGCUGGUUUCAAAAAUCCUCGAUGGGUUGACGGCGAGCUUUUGAUACUAGAUGGAAAGUUCAUCAGAGAUGGUCCCGUGAUAGCUUUCUUCUACUGGACAUCAAAUCUCCAUCUUUUUGAAUUCUUUAGGCGGUUGAGUCUUCCUGACUAG